rnacentral:rRNA from 1 species
UACGUAGGGUGCAAGCGUUGUCCGGAAUUAUUGGGCGUAAAGGGCUCGUAGGCGGUCUGUUGCGUCAGGAGUGAAAACUCGGGGCUUAACCCCGAGCCUGCUUCUGAUACGGGCAGACUAGAGGUAUGCAGGGGAGAACGGAAUUCCUGGUGUAGCGGUGAAAUGCGCAGAUAUCAGGAGGAACACCGGUGGCGAAGGCGGGUCUCGUGGGCCGUAACUGACGCUGAGGAGCGAAAGCAUGGGGAGCGAACAGG